rnacentral:lncRNA from 1 species
ACAGGAACUCAGUUCUGGCACUGUUCAGGAGGGUGCCAUUGCCAUUAUAAGAGAGCAAGAGUGGUGUUCGUGAUGAGUUCUGGCACCUCUUUUUCUGCAAAAAUAGCACUGCUGGUGCUGGUAACUUUCAAGUCUUGUUAUCUAAAACUCUUUGCAAAACCCAGUUCACAAUUUAUAUCCAGUACAGCUUAGGAAUCUGAAUCACAUCAAAAUGGGAGGGUGCUUUCUUCCUAUAUAUAUAUCCCAUCCCCAUCUUAGGAGAAACAGUAGUAAUUGGGAGGGAUUAUCACAUGAUGUAUGGAAGUGAGAGCUGGACCAUAAAGAAGGCUGAUUGCCAAAGAAUUGAUGCUUUUGAAUUAUGGUGCUGGAGGAGACUCUUGAGAGUCCCCUGGACUGCAAGAAGAUCAAACCUAUCCAUUCUGAAGGAAAUCAGCCCUGAGUGCUCGCUGGAAGGACAGAUCCUGAAGCUGAGACUCCAAUACUUUGGCCACCUCAUGAGAAGAGAAGACUCCCUGGGAAAGACCCUGAUGUUGGGAAAGAUGGAGGGCACAAGGAGAAGGAGACGACAGAGGACGAGAUGGUUGGACAGUGUUCUCGCAGCUACCAGCAUGAGUUUGACUAAACUGCGGGAGGCAGUGGAAGACAGGAGUGCCUGGCGUGCUCUGGUCCAUGGGGUCACGAAGAGUCGGACAUGACUAAACGACUGAACAACAACAAAUCACAUGGUAUGCUGUGUACAUACCAUGUACACAGUUCUGAUUGCUGCAUCUCAAAAAGGAUAUUGCAGGGUUGGAAAAGGUGCAGAAAGGGGCAACCCAAAUGAUCAGGGUGCUUGACUAUUUUAUAAGGAUUAUGUUUGGGGAGUUAAGAGUGGAUGCAAUCAAACUUUAUUAAAGUUAUGCAUAAGAACAUAAGAAAAGCCGCCUGGAUCAGGUGAGUGGCCCAACCUGCUCCUGCAAUGGCCAACCAGAUUCCUGUGGGAAACCCACAAACAGGAUUUGGGCACAAGAGCACUCUCCCUUGUGGUUUCCAGCAGCUGGUAUUCAGAAGCAUCCAACACUUGGAGUCAGAGCAUAGCCAUCAUGGCUGGUAGCCACGGAUAGCUCUCGCCUCUGUGAAAUUAUCUAAUCCUCUUUUAAAGCCAUCUAGGUUGGGUGGCCAUCACUGCCUCCUGUGGAAGAAAGUUCCAUAGUUUGACUAAGUGCUUUGUAAAUAAGUACUUCUUCUUCUUCUUCCCUGCCUAUCUGGCUAGGUUUCCCCAGCUACUCUGGGCAGCUUCCAACAAAAUAUUAAAAACACAAUAAAACAUCAGAUAUUCAAAACUUCCCUAAACAAACCCACCCUCUGAAUCUUAGCAUCCUGAAUCUUCCAACAUUCAGCUUCAUUGGAUGUCAAUGAGUUCUACUAUACAGUGGUACCUCUGGUUGCGAACGGGACAUGAGCAGAACGCAACCCGCGUCUGCACAUGCACAGGUCACGAUUCGUCGCUUCUGUGCAUGCAUGUGACGUCAUUUUGAGCAUCUGCGCAUGCGCGAGCAGCGAAACCCGGAAGUAACCCUUUCCGGUACUUCUGGGUCACCGCGGGACACAACCUGAAAAGACAUAACCUGAACCAAACGUAACAAGAGGUAUGACUGUAAUGACAGAGGAAGGAAAACGUUUCUCAAUCCACUUUCUCCAUGCCAGGCAUAAUUUUAAAACUUUUAUCAUGUCAACUUUUUCUUGUCCUCUAAAUUAAAAAGUCCCAAAUGCUACAAUGUUUCUUUAUAAGGGAGUCUAUCAUCCCUUUCAUCAUUUUGGCUGCCCCUUUUUGAACCUUUUCCAACUCUACAAUAUCCAUUUUUGAAGUAAGGUGGCCAUAACUGUACACAUUAUUUCAAAUGCCGUUACAACAUAGAUUUGUGUAACAGCUUUAUUAUACCAGCAGUUUUAUUUUCAAUUCCUUUCCUAAUGAUCCUUGGCAUGGAAUUUGCCUCUUUCACCACUGUCAUUCACUGGGUCAACAUAUUCAUAAAGCUAUCUAGUAUGACUUCAAAGUUUUGUUUCUGGUCCAUUAGCACCAGUUCAUAUCCCAUGAGUGUAUAUGUGAAGUUAUGGGUUUUUGCCCCAACAUGCAACACUUUACACUUGUUUACAUUGAAUUGCACUUGCCAUUUUACCUCCCGUUCAUUCAGUUUAGAGAGGUCCUUUUAGAGCUCACCACAAUCUGUCUUUAUUUUAAUGACCCUGAACAAUUUAGAAUCAUUAGCAAAAGGCUGGAUGAGGCUGCUGAAGAGGCCAGAAAUCAUCUUGGCUGUGAGUCCUAGAACAGCUGCUUCCUGCCUUGCAGGCCUUUUCCCACCUGGCCUGGGAGGGUGAAGCCCUGACUGACUCCAGCUGCAAAAGCCUAGGCUGCUGAAGAAGCCAGAGACCAUAUUGGUUGUUCCUUAGUUCGGAAACAGGUCAUCGAACCUGAGCAUCCACAGCCGCCAUGAACCACCAUUUGCAGGGUUGGCAGCAACAGUAGCAGAUACGUUCUACGCUUAAAGUAAUAUUUUUAGUCUCUUGCUAAUUAUGCUGUUUUAAAUGUGCAUAUUUGACUUCCUUUAGUAACGUUUUCUUUUGAAGAUUUUUUUGGUUAACUUUGCUGUGUUAAAUGUGCAUUCUGUAGUUGACCUCCUUUGUAAUGUUUUAUUUCGAAAUCUUUAAGAUAGCAUUUUAGUUUCCUGCUAAUUAUUUUUGCUUUGAAUGUAUGCUUUAUAGUUGACUUUCUCCUGUAAUGUUUUAUUCUAGAUUGUUUUAUUUGAUGUUUCAAUGUAAGUUGUAAACUACUUUGAGAUUUUUUUUCUUUGAAAUAUAAAGCAGUAUACAAAGGAAAUUAUCAACAAUAAUAAUGACACUGUGAAGAGCACCUUCCACACUCUGCCCCUCCCAGCGCUGGCAGCGGCGAGGGAUGGGUAAGCACACUCUGUCCCUGCUUGGACGCGCACCUGCCCCAGGCACCUGUGGACAGUACUAUGCCCCUGGGAAGAGGAGCAGUACAUGAGUCUAUGAUUCUAUGCCAUUGCUUGUGUGCUUAGUGGGUCUCAGCCUGGCAAGCCAAGUGAAAGAAAUGGGGAAGAACAGAAGCAGCUGCACGUGGUGACAGGAGGAGGUAGAUUCAGGGAGUGGGGGGAAGCUGACAGAGUGUGCUUUACCAAAAGGGACUCCCAAAACACUGGUGCGGACGCAGUGCCUCUGAUUGCCAGUUGUUGCGCAAUAACUGUAAAUGUGGGCUAUCUCCAUGCGCUGCUUGUGGGCUUCCUAGAAGCAUCUGAUUGGCUAUUGUGGCAAACUAAAUGCUGGACUAGAAGGACUGUUAGCAGGACUCUUCUACUGCUGUCAUAUUCAUCUCCGUUCAUUCGUUUUAGCUGUUUUGAAUAUAUAAAAUAAUCACACCUGUGGACUGGUUGCUAAUGCUGUCUCUGAAGUACCAAAGUACUUCCCCAUGCUGUCAUUAAAAGACUUCCAAGUCAUGUAUGUAUUGUCACCCCCAUCAGGAAUGGAAAAAUAUGGAAAUGUGUUGUUAUUUAUAAUGCAUUCAGUUGGCUGCAUUUCUAAAAUAAUUAGAUUUGCUAGCUAACCUGACCUUAGCAGCACUGGAUUGGUUUUGGAGAAAAAUUAAAUUUUAAUCUAAAUGUUAAUUUUUUAAAUGGAUAAGCAGUUAGGAGCCACUCUAACAGACAUUUCCAUUGCGUUGGGUAUCAGUACCCCUGUCUGGAUGUGUAUUACAGAGCACUUACUCUACAGAAAAAUGAGCUUCUUCGGAAUCUCAUUUUUCCUUUUAAUCAUUGUUCUACCACAGCAUGAUUUUAGUCUCAUCUCACUUUCACAGGGAAGGUUGGGGACGUGUUGCCAAUGAGUGAAUUCAGACAAAGCUAUGAUCGAGGAAUCCCCGCAAGGUAGGACUUGGCUUGUUUCAACUCAGGCUGAUGAGAGUUGUAGUCCAAAACAUCUGGAAGGCAACAAAGACUAGUGUACAUUAGGAUGUGUGUUUUAUAGCUUAUAGCAUCUUAACUCUUUUUCAUAGCAAGCAAUAUUUUUUUACAGUGAGUAAACUAAAAAUAAAAAGGGUGCUGUAGACCAGAAACUCAGAGCAAAACAGAUUCAAAAUGGUGACUGUUUCUUAAGGCAGCGGUGCUCAUCUUAGCUUUUGUAAUCUCUGUGGUAGGCUUUCCUCAGCCCUUUUAACACCACAUCAAUCCCUAACAGCUGCUUAGGUGGCUCUGUAUCAUGUACACAUAAUCAGUCUGCAAUAUUUCCCAGCUUUUGUUGGCUGGAAUAGUGAAACAGCCAUAUGGUGACUUUUUGGGAUGUGGUGACUAUCCAUGUGUGAACAUGUUUGCAACUCACCUGCUCAUUCACCCACUUGGUAUGUUUUAAUCUCUCCACUUAUCAUCUGUAUCAGAGCAUCCAAAAGAGCGGGCACUUCUUGUAAAACAGUGCCGUCCAGAUUUUGUGGACCAUGUCCCAUCAUCCCUAGCCAUUAGCCACAUUGGCUAGAUCCAAUGCAAGCUGUAGUCCAACAGGCACACCCCUGGCUACCACUGUCUCCUAAAAGAUCACCCUCUGGUGACUUUGCCAUCAGUUUGCCAUUUAUCUCAGUGGCAUACUGAGGUGUCAAAUAUCAAAAGUGGUGUAAGAACUCAGAAACUGGGAGCUGCAACAUUGGCACAAAGUCCAGCUCACAAGACCAGUGCAAACUGUACAGUCCACAAGUCUGCCCUAGUGAGAGAAUGAAUAUACACUUCUCUCUAUGACAGUUUGUGCCUUUCCACUGAGCAAAUUGGCCCUGCUGUCUUGCCAUGCUAUCUUGUUCAAGGAAAAGAGAUGAGCAUAGAAAUAGAUCUUGUUAGAUUUUCAGGCUCUAGGAGAGAACCGUAACCUAAUCCCCUACAUAAUCUAAUUUACACAGUGCUUUCUCGCAGCCUCUGUGUUGAGAGCGGCAGCUCAGGCUUGGUAGCCAUCGUUUUGGAAGAUUCACUAGCUGCAUUUUAAAAACAACACAACAACUGAUCCCCUGUUGUCUUGCAAAUAUGCAAGUUUGCAAAGUUUGUAGCACCUUAACUAGUUAGUUCAAUCAAAUCUGUCCUUUUGCCUCAUAGAUGUACAGAGUGUGCUGAGACCUAGUAGCAGCACCAAGCCAAGACUUCAGUGUGGAGCAAAUAAAUGUAAUACUCUUUAAAGCAGGCCUUCUUGGAGCCUUGUUUCCAGUCUCCUCCCAAAUGUCCUCAUAGAAAUGCGUAAUGUUGAUCUUGUU